rnacentral:rRNA from 1 species
UCUUGACAAAUAUAAGAGGUCCAGCCUGCCCAGUGACCUAGUUCAACGGCCGCGGUAUCCUAACCGUGCGAAGGUAGCGUAAUCACUUGUUCUUUAAAUGAGGACUAGUAUGAAUGGCAUCACGAGGGUUGCACUGUCUCCUUUUUUUAAUCAGUGAAACUAAUCUUCCCGUGAAGAAGCGGGAAUAUUACUAUAAGACGAGAAGACCCUAUGGAGCUUUAAACAAAUUAACACUUGCUGCCUAACAUAACUUUUUCAGAAACACAACACACAGCAUAGCAUGAUGACUAAUAGUUUUCGAUUGGGGUGAUCACGGAGUAAAAAAUAACCUCCAUGCCGAAAGGGCUCUUCCCUGAGCAAAAAGCCACAACUUUAAGCACUAAAAAAUUAACGUUUAUUGACCCAAUACUUUGAUCAACGAACCAAGUUACCCUAGGGAUAACAGCGCAAUCCACUUCAAGAGCUCCUAUCGACAAGUGGGUUUACGACCUCGAUGUUGGAUCAGGGUAUCCCAGUGG